CUCCCCUCCUCUGCCCCGUAAGAGGAGUGCUGGCUCUGCCAUAUCAGAUCCUGUGUCCUUUUUGUGCAGAAUCACGGCCACGGACCCUUGCCUCGUCAUCCCAGUGAAGUUCUCUGCUGCUGCCCAGGACCCCUGCCACACUAUGUAUCUCAUCCCUACUGCCCAGUUUCACCAGGGCCACCAACAGUCUUGAGCAGAAAGGAGACACAAUAAUGUUUUUUGAAAGUCUCUCUAGAAUGAGCUAAACCAGUCAUCCACCCCGGCCACUGAGAAAUGACUCAUUCUCCUGGAUGUGACCUGAAUCAACAAAGGAAG